rfam:Omnitrophica WOR_2 bacterium GWB2_45_9 gwb2_scaffold_2108, whole genome shotgun sequence.
CGGGGCGUGGCUCAGUUUGGCUAGAGCACUUGAAUGGGGUUCAAGAGGUCACAGGUUCAAGUCCUGUCGCCCCGA